rnacentral:rRNA from 1 species
UACAGAGGGUGCGAGCGUUAAUCGGAUUUACUGGGCGUAAAGAGCUCGUAGGCGGCUUGGUAAGUCGGAUGUGAAACCUCCAGGCUCAACCUGGAGUCGCCAUCCGAUACUGCCAUGGCUAGAGUCCGGUAGGGGCCCACGGAAUUCCUGGUGUAGCGGUGAAAUGCGCAGAUAUCAGGAGGAACACCGGUGGCGAAGGCGGUGGGCUGGGCCGGCACUGACGCUGAGGUGCGAAAGCGUGGGGAGCAAACAGG